rfam:Gossypium arboreum cultivar AKA8401 contig_2660_7, whole genome shotgun sequence.
UGUUAAAAUUUUCAUCUAUUUUUGUUAAUAUCAUUAAAAACUGGCAUGGUUGACAGAAUAAUUAAAUAAUAAUACGUGGUGUGUUACGUUUACCUCAUGCUAACGUACAUGAGUCAGAUUUUAAUAGUAGAAAUGGAUGAAAUUUUUAACA